CAUUCACCCACGGGGUGUCCUGGCGUUGUCAGGGCUGAGACGCGGAUCGGGCGCAAGGGGCGCUUAGUCUGCAAACCCGCGAACCUGAUCCGGGUCAUACCGGCGGAGGAAUAGGGACUAUGCGUCGU
rnacentral:ncRNA from 2 species